rnacentral:rRNA from 1 species
GAUGAACGCUGGCGGCAUGCCUUACACAUGCAAGUCGAACGGCAGCGGGGGAGAAGCUUGCUUUUCCUGCCGGCGAGUGGCGAACGGGUGAGUAAUACAUCGGAACGUGCCCUGUAGUGGGGGAUAACUAGUCGAAAGAUUAGCUAAUACCGCAUACGACCUGAGGGUGAAAGUGGGGGACCGCAAGGCCUCAUGCUAUAGGAGCGGCCGAUGUCGGAUUAGCUAGUUGGUGGGGUAAAGGCCUACCAAGGCGACGAUCAGUAGCUGGUCUGAGAGGACGAUCAGCCACACUGGGACUGAGACACGGCCCAGGCUCCUACGGGAGGCAGAAGUGGGGAAUUUUGGACAAUGGGCGAAAGCCUGAUCCAGCAAUGCCGCGUGUGUGAAGAAGGCCUUCGGGUUGUAAAGCACUUUUGUCCGGAAAGAAAUGGCUCUGGUUAAUACCUGGGGUCGAUGACGGUACCGGAAGAAUAAGGACCGGCUAACUACGUGCCAGCCGCCGCCGUAA